UCUAAAGUCAACAGCCACAGGGGACAACAAAAAGGCUUGAUAAGGGUCAAGAAACUGGUAUUUCUACUUUUAUUAAAUGAGAUAUUUUGAUUCCAUGAAUGAUAUUUUUGCCUUAUUUUUCUUCCAGAAAGAAUAAACUAAACGAGCUUGACAUUGCCCAUUUUAUAGAUGAAGACAGUCAUGUAAAUCACGUGAAAGAAAGCAAUAGUGUGUGUACGAAGAAAGAAAGAAAAAGAGAAAGACCAUGUAAGAGAAGAGACACACAAUUUGAUAACAUAAUAAGAGCCUCCCUUGCUGGUGUUCCUGUUGAACAUUCCCGGGACCUCCUUUUCCAGGCAUUACUGCUGCCAGAAAAUUGAGACUUGGAAACUCCAUGUGUCAGAGAUUGACACACUCUUGAAACCUUCCAGGUGUUAAAGAUCAGGUAUGUUUGAACUGCGACUAAGAAAUGUUCCUCUUCAUUUUAUUACUUUACUUCUCCAAAUGGAUACCCAAACAGUGUCACUCAGGCCUUUAUAUUGCCAUCGAGCAUUUUUUUAGUGAAACUUUUCUUCGAGCAUUUAAGGGUAAAACAAAAGCUCAUAGAUAUUUGGGCUUGGCAACAAUUCUGAGUGACCAUGGCUUUAGUAAAAACUAAGAUUCCAUAGUGGUCAUAGUGGCUCUCUUCUCUUACAGUAUAUUUUCUACCAGCC
rnacentral:lncRNA from 13 species